rnacentral:pre_miRNA from 1 species
AUUACCUCCUUGGUGCACAUACUUCUUUAUGUACCCAUAUGAACAUAUGAUAGCUAUGGAAUGUAAAGAAGUAUGUAUUCCUGGUGGGGUG